UGCAUUUCAACAAGGAAAGAUACCUCCUACUCCAUUCUCUGCUCCUCCUCCUGCAGGGGCGAUGAUACCACCUCCCCCCAGCCUUCCGGGUCCUCCUCGCCCUGGUAUGAUGCCAGCACCCCAUAUGGGGGGCCCUCCCAUGAUGCCAAUGAUGGGCCCUCCUCCUCCUGGGAUGAUGCCAGUGGGACCUGGUAAGUUUGAAUGUCUGUCUUUCUAGUUUGUUCCAUUUAGUUUAGUUACUAUGCAUAGCUGACACUUAAUGGAAGGAAGUCAGUAUGUGUAGCCAAAGCUUGAAAAUGGGGAGUUGUGCUCCACCUCUGAGGGUGGAAUAUUUACAUAAAUUAUCUAAUUAGCUGUCUAAAUGUACUAUUGUAACAAAUUAAAUUUGGUCAAUUAUUAAUGAUAAAGAAAAAGAAAUACUUGGUUUAUCAUUAUAAUUGGAUGGUGUCCAGUGACCUCGUGCUACUAAAAGCAGGAUAGGUUGCUUCUGUUUUUCUUUUCCUCUCUUCUGUUUCCUUGCCUCAUCCUGGCUUUUGGCCAUUUAUACUGAAGAGAAGGGUAGAUGAGCUUGUUCCAUUUUGUGGGAAGGGGGAAGGUUAUAGAUACAUUUUCUCAGUUUUGAUUUGGAGCAGAGCCACUUCUUGUUGCUUGUUUAAUCUUGCAGUUUAACUUGGCCACAUCAUUAUAUUAAAAAGGCUUUCAGCCUGGUAGUUGUUUUUUUAUUUAGGGAGGCGUAAAAAACUUACACUUCAAACAUUUUAUUUUAAUGUAAAUUUAAACAUACAUUAAUUUGCAAAUCUUUCUGAUACAUGAGCAGGACCUUUGCUUUGAGAGUGUGUCUAGGCCAGGCGCGGUGGCUCAUGCCUGUAAUCCCAGCACUUUGGGAGGCCAAGGCAGGCAGAUCACGAGGUCAAGAGAUCAAGACCAUCUUGGCUAACACAAUGAAACCCCAUCUCUACUUAAAAAUACAAAAAAUUAGCCAGGUGUGGUGGCACGCGCCUGUUGUCUCAGCUACUCAGGAGGCUGAGGCAGGAGAAUCACUUGAACCCAGGAGGCAGAGGUUGCAGUGAGCUGAUAUUGUGCCACUGCACUCCAGCCUGGGUGACAGAGUGAGACUGUGUCU
rnacentral:lncRNA from 1 species